CCCCUCUCAGGGUCGCAACUGGAAAGUUUUCCAUACUUUACCUUUCUCAACAAUAGGAGGGAGAGUCAAGCAGAGACAUAUCCAUUCCAUUCCUAGCUUGGCCAAUGGCUAGUGAGUGGAAGGCAAUCUGCUACAAGU